rnacentral:rRNA from 1 species
CAAAAAAGACAGUCUCAGUUCGGAUUGAAGGCUGAAAUUCGCCUUCAUGAAGCCGGAAUUGCUAGUAAUGGCAGGUCAGCAUACUGCCGUGAAUACGUUCCCGGGCCUUGUACACACCGCCCGUCACACCAUGAGAGUUGGGAAUACCCGAAGCCUGUGAGCUAACUUUUAGAGGCAGCAGUCGAAGGUAGAAUCAAUGAUUGGGGUGAAGUCGUAACAAGGUAAC